UACGUAGGGUCCGAGCGUUGUCCGGAAUUACUGGGCGUAAAGAGCUCGUAGGUGGUUUGUCGCGUUGUCCGUGAAAACUCACAGCUCAACUGUGGGCGUGCGGGCGAUACGGGCAGACUGGAGUACUGCAGGGGAGACUGGAAUUCCUGGUGUAGCGGUGGAAUGCGCAGAUAUCAGGAGGAACACCGGCGGCGAAGGCGGGUCUCUGGGCAGUAACUGACGCUGAGGAGCGAAAGCGUGGGGAGCGAACAGG
rnacentral:rRNA from 1 species